UACGUAGGGUGCGAGCGUUGUCCGGAAUUAUUGGGCGUAAAGGGCUCGUAGGCGGUUUGUCGCGUCGGGAGUGAAAACUCAGGGCUUAACCCUGAGCCUGCUUCCGAUACGGGCAGACUAGAGGUAUGCAGGGGAGAACGGAAUUCCUGGUGUAGCGGUGAAAUGCGCAGAUAUCAGGAGGAACACCGGUGGCGAAGGCGGCAUCCUGGACCGGCAUUGACGCUGAGGCGCGAAAGCUAGGGGAGCAAACGGG
rnacentral:rRNA from 1 species